UGUGUCGUUACAGCCUUGAAAGCGAAGUAUCCGGAAAACUCGCACGCGUUACACACUAGGAAAACCUCGAUGAAUUGUAUCGUGCGUAGCUUGAACAAGCUGGGUUAAUUACGCGAAUGGAUAAAAGCAUUAGCCAAAGUGGAAAGUGUCGCGGGUUAAACGUCGCCGUUGCUCUUGGCGACGAUGCGGCUAUUAAAUGGAACACGUGAAAUCGAUGUGAAGGAAGAGAAGGAUAGAGAGAAAGAGAAGAGGAGAGGCAAAAUUUUCUCGAUUCACGGUGAAUCGAUGAAGAAAUACGAGAUAACUGUGGCCACGCAGUUUAACAGAAAUUGCAAAUUGUAGAUCCGCGUAAAUCUAAUCGUUCACGAGUAAUUGAAAAGGAUCUGCGAGAUUAAGAAAUACGACUCUAUGAUUAUUAUACCGAUUAAUGACAUAUACUCCUGGUAACCUACAAUAUUAUUUUUCUCAUAAACUUCAGGAAGGUUUAGAUGUCGUUAGAAAGAAAAUUUGAAGCUAUCGCGAUUAUACUUAAAUGUCAGACGCUGCUGCAAUCCAGGCGCCACGUUCAAUUAUCAAAUGAAAUUACCAACCCAGGGUAAACCUUUUUAACGAGUAAUCUUCUUUCGUCAACUCUUUCCUCGUACAAUCUACGACCAAGGCUAAUUCAAAUAUCUCGAACUUCAUAAUUGGCAAUUUUCUCUGGAAAAAGUUAUCACCAAUUCCCUAUCUCUGUUUUCAUUUAUAUUUCGGAUUUUACACUAACAACUGUAAAUCGCAAGGACAACCAUAAAUCACCAGAUCUAAUAUCGCGGAUACAGUGGCUCAUGAAAAUAUUCCAGUUGAUCAACGACGCUUCUUUUAGCCUCGGUUAAAAAUCGACUCGUUUGGGUCAUUGUCCUCGAUUGCUUAUUCGCAGACGGAAAUCGGUUCAGAUAAAAUUAACAGCAAACCAAUACGUCGUUUCCCGAUCGAAUAUGCUAAAAAAGUUUCUUAACGUCAACGUGAUCGACAUACAACUCCAAAAUAA
rnacentral:misc_RNA from 1 species